rnacentral:antisense_RNA from 1 species
ACCAACUCGGUCGAGGUCUUGUGCAGGAAGUCCUCACGGGCCCGGCGGACCUUGCCAUGCGCCACGGCAACCUUACGGGCCGCCUUCUUCCGGUUGGCCGAGCCCCGGCACGUACGCGCCUUACGCCGCUCAUAGCGAGCCAGGUUCCUACGCUUGCGCUCAAGGUGCCGCGGGUUGGCGAUCCGCUGCCCGUCCGAGGUGACGGCGAAGUCCUUGAUCCCCAGGUCGAUGCCGACCACGUCACCGGUCUGGGCAAACGGCUCGGGAUCGUCGGUACCGACGGCGAAGGACACAUACCACAUGCCGUCCCGCUCACGGGAGAGGGUCACCGUUGUCGGAUGGAGCGACGCCACGUCGAUGUCGGGCCAGGACCAUACGAAGCAAAGCGCCCCCGGGGUCUUCGCCACGUACAGCUCCGCAUCCUGCAUGCGGAAGGCAGAGCGGGUGUAUGCGGCGGACUGCUUCCCCUCGCGGGACUUGUAGCGCGGGUAACGGGCGCGCUUGGCGAAGAAGUUCGCGAACGCGGUGGACUGGUGCCGCAGUGUCUGCUGGAGCGGAACCGAGGAGACCUCGGAGAGGAACGCCAGGUCCUUGG